UUUUCUCUGCUUUGCAACUGGACCCCUAACACCGAGUGACGACGCUAGUUAAGCCGGAGUUUGACAUGUCAGGCUAGCUAGCUAGCUGACUGGCCGAUUUUCACGGAUUUGUUGGAGCAGCUAAUGGCUGAAGAUAUGGAGAGUGAUGGUGUCUGGCGGGAACCACUUGCCUAGCAUGCUGUGGGAAUUGGUGGAUUGUUUGGAAAACAGCAAAGCAUUGGCUUCGCUACGUGUGGGCUGUCAUGGCGGAA